AGCAGACUUGUGAAACACUGUCACUUCUAAUAUAAAAAUGCAGCUCAUGUCCCUAAAAUGCAUGCGAUCCAGUUUAAAACCUUUUCCGUGGGAAAUCUAGACAGCCGAGCCUCUCUAUGAACUGGCAUUGGAUACCUCCCCCUGCAUUACUCAGCGCUGCUGAACAGGAUCUAGGCUAAGCCAGAAGUAGGAAGACACACCUCCUGCCGGGUGCACUGAGCUGUGACAUCACCGAGGGGGAGGGGCUGCGCUGCUGCUGCAGAGUGGGGGUGGUUUCCUGUGAGACAGCAGCCAGGGGAGUUCAAAAGGCCCUGCUGGAUUUCACCGGGCAGAAAAUCAGCUGCAGAGACCUUCAGCCGACACUGUUUAGGAUCCGUGCUCUUGAAGACUUGGCUUUAUUUCACGGCUCCCGAAUGUUCUUAUGAUGCAAUUUCCGUGCUUUAUACUGUCAUUCAUAAGCAAAUAAAGCUCAUAGGUGUUUAUUCUCA